UGGAUAGGAAAUAUCCUGUUCUGGCUGGAG
rnacentral:piRNA from 1 species